AGGUUAAGUUAACAAGGGCGCAUGGUGAAUGCCUUGGCACUAGGAGCCGAUGAAGGACGGGACUAACACCGAUAUGCUUCGGGGAGCUGUACGUAAGCUAUGAUCCGGAGAUUUCCGAAUGGGGCAACCCAGCAGUUUUAAUCAACUGUUACCACUAGAUGAAUUCAUAGUCUAGUUGGAGGUAAACGCUGUGAACUGAAACAUCUCAUUAGCAGCAGGAAUAUAAAGAAAUUUCGAUUCCCUAAGUAGCGGCGAGCGAACGGGGAACAGCCCAAACCAAAGUGCUUGCACUUUGGGGUUGUAGGACUGAACAUUUGAGUUACCAAAGAACUUGAUAGUCGAAGGAUUUGGGAAAAUCCGCCAUAGAUGGUGAUAGCCCAGUAGAUUAAAUCAAAUUCUCUCAGUUCAGGAUCCUGAGUACGGCGGAACACGUGAAAUUCCGUCGGAAUCCGGGAGGACCAUCUCCCAAGGCUAAAUACUACCUAGUGACCGAUAGUGAACCAGUACCGUGAGGGAAAGGUGAAAAGCACCCCGGGAGGGGAGUGAAAUAGUUCCUGAAACCAUGUGCCUACAAUAAGUCAGAGCGCGUUAAUGCGUGAUGGCGUGCCUUUUGUAGAAUGAACCGGCGAGUUAUGAUCCCGUGCAAGGUUAAGACUAAAAAGUCGGAGCCGUAGCGAAAGCGAGUCUGAAAUGGGCGUUUUGAGUACGAGGUUAUAGACCCGAAACCAGGUGACCUAUCCAUGUCCAGGUUGAAGGUGCGGUAAAACGCACUGGAGGACCGAACCCGUGUAAGUUGAAAAUUGCUGGGAUGAGGUGUGGAUAGCGGUGAAAUUCCAAACGAACUUGGAGAUAGCUGGUUCUCUCCGAAAUAGCUUUAGGGCUAGCCUCGGAAUUAGGAUCAUGGAGGUAGAGCACUAUUUGGACUAGGGGCCCGUCUUGGGUUACUGAAUUCAGAUAAACUCCGAAUGCCAUUGAUUCAUAUCCGGGAGUCAGACGAUGAGUGAUAAGAUCCACCGUCGAAAGGGGAACAGCCCAGACCAUCAGUUAAGGUCCCUAAAUGUAUGCUAAGUGGAAAAGGAUGUGGAGUUGCAUAGACAACUAGGAUGUUGGCUCAGAAGCAGCCACCAUUUAAAGAGUGCGUAAUAGCUCACUAGUCGAGUGAUCCUGCGCCGAAAAUGUACCGGGGCUAAGCACACUACCGAAACCAUGGAUGCGACCAUUAGGUCGCGUGAUAGGAGAGCGUUCUAAGGGCGGUGAAGCAAGAUCGUGAGGACUUGUGGAGCGCUUAGAAGUGAGAAUGCCGGUAUGAGUAGCGAAAGAUAGGUGAGAAUCCUAUCCACCGAAUGACUAAGGUUUCCUGGGGAAGGCUCGUCCUCCCAGGGUUAGUCGGGACCUAAGUCGAGGCCGAGAGGCGUAGACGAUGGAUAACAGGUUGAGAUUCCUGUACUAGUUAAGUGCGUUUGAGCAAUGGAGGGACGCAGGAGGCUAAGAUGUGCAUUCUGUUGGAUUAGAAUGUCCAAGCAGUAAGUCUUGUGAAGAGUCAAAUGCUUUUCACUUUAAGGACAAGCUGUGAUGGGGAGCGAAAUUUAGUAGCGAAGCGUCUGAUGUCACACUGCCGAGAAAAGCUUCUAGUGAGUACUUAACUACCCGUACCGCAAACCGACACAGGUAGUCGAGGAGAGAAUCCUAAGGUGAGCGAGUGAACUCUCGUUAAGGAACUCGGCAAAAUGACCCCGUAACUUCGGGAGAAGGGGUGCUGAUCGCAAGAUCAGCCGCAGUGAAUAGGCCCAGGCGACUGUUUAUCAAAAACACAGGUCUCUGCAAAAUCGUAAGAUGACGUAUAGGGGCUGACGCCUGCCCGGUGCUGGAAGGUUAAAAGGAUGGGUUAGCUUCGGCGAAGCUCAGAAUUGAAGCCCCAGUAAACGGCGGCCGUAACUAUAACGGUCCUAAGGUAGCGAAAUUCCUUGUCGGGUAAGUUCCGACCCGCACGAAAGGCGUAACGAUCUGGGCACUGUCUCAACGAGAGACUCGGUGAAAUUAUAUUGUCCGUGAAGAUGCGGACUACCCGCGACAGGACGGAAAGACCCCAUGGAGCUUUACUGUAGCUUGAUAUUGAGUGUUUGUACAGCUUGUACAGGAUAGGUAGGAGCCAUAGAAACCGGAACGCUAGUUUCGGUGGAGGCGUUGGUGGGAUACUACCCUCGCUGUAUGACCACUCUAACCCGCACCACUAAUCGUGGUGGGAGACAGUGUCAGGUGGGCAGUUUGACUGGGGCGGUCGCCUCCUAAAAAGUAACGGAGGCGCCCAAAGGUUCCCUCAGAAUGGUUGGAAAUCAUUCGCAGAGUGUAAAGGCACAAGGGAGCUUGACUGCGAGACAGACAGGUCGAGCAGGGACGAAAGUCGGGCUUAGUGAUCCGGUGGUACCGUAUGGAAGGGCCAUCGCUCAACGGAUAAAAGCUACCCUGGGGAUAACAGGCUUAUCUCCCCCAAGAGUCCACAUCGACGGGGAGGUUUGGCACCUCGAUGUCGGCUCAUCGCAUCCUGGGGCUGUAGUCGGUCCCAAGGGUUGGGCUGUUCGCCCAUUAAAGCGGUACGCGAGCUGGGUUCAGAACGUCGUGAGACAGUUCGGUCCCUAUCCGUCGCGGGCGUAGGAAAUUUGAGAGGACCUGUCCUUAGUACGAGAGGACCGGGAUGGACAUACCUCUGGUGUACCAGUUGUGCCGCCAGGCGCAUCGCUGGGUAGCUACGUAUGGAUGUGAUAAACGCUGAAAGCAUCUAAGUGUGAAACACACCUCGAGAUGAGAUUUCCCAUUCCUUUAUGGAAGUAAGACCCCUGAAAGAUGAUCAGGUAGAUAGGUUAGAAGUGGCAGUGCGGUGACGCAUGAAGCGGACUAAUACUAAUCGGUCGAGGACUUAACCAAG
rnacentral:rRNA from 2 species